rnacentral:miRNA from 1 species
AGGCUUUCCCGUUUUGUUGAACU